ACUCCUACGGGAGGCAGCAGUAGGGAAUCUUCCACAAUGGGCGCAAGCCUGAUGGAGCAACACCGCGUGAGUGAGGAAGGGUUUCGGCUCGUAAAGCUCUGUUGUUAAAGAAGAACACGUAUGAGAGUAACUGUUCAUACGUUGACGGUAUUUAACCAGAAAGUCACGGCUAACUACGUGCCAGCAGCCGCGGUAAUACGUAGGUGGCAAGCGUUAUCCGGAUUUAUUGGGCGUAAAGAGAGUGCAGGCGGUUUUCUAAGUCUGAUGUGAAAGCCUUCGGCUUAACCGGAGAAGUGCAUCGGAAACUGGAUAACUUGAGUGCAGAAGAGGGUAGUGGAACUCCAUGUGUAGCGGUGGAAUGCGUAGAUAUAUGGAAGAACACCAGUGGCGAAGGCGGCUACCUGGUCUGCAACUGACGCUGAGACUCGAAAGCAUGGGUAGCGAACAGGAUUAGAUACCCUGGUAGGAUAGCG
rnacentral:rRNA from 1 species